rnacentral:rRNA from 1 species
UUGAUCAUGGCUCAGGACGAACGCUGGCGGCGUGCUUAACACAUGCAAGUCGAACGGAGAUUAUUUUAAGCUUGCUUUUGAUGAUCUUAGUGGCAAACGGGUGAGUAACGCGUAGGCAACCUGCCUUUCCGAUGGGGACAACAGUUCGAAACUGCUAAUACCGAAUGAUGUAUAUCUUCCGCAUGGAGGACAUACCAAAGACGGCCUCUAUUUAUAAGCUGUCACGGAAAGAUGCCUGCGUCUGAUUAGCCAGUUGGCGGGGUAAUGGCCCACCAAAGCGACGAUCAGUAGCCGGUCUGAGAGGAUGAACGGCCACAUUGGGACUGAGACACGGCCCAAACUCCUACGGGAGGCAGCAGUGGGGAAUCUUCCGCAAUGGACGAAAGUCUGACGGAGCAACGCCGCGUGAGUGAAGAAGGUUUUCGAAUCGUAAAGCUCUGUUGUCAGGGACGAGCAGGGGGAGUAUCAACAACACUUCCUCAUGACGGUACCUGACGAGGAAGCCCCGGCUAACUUCGUGCCAGCAGCCGCGGUAAUACGAAGGGGGC